rnacentral:rRNA from 1 species
GAUGAACGCUGGCGGCGUGCCUAAUACAUGCAAGUCGAGCGAACAGACGAGGAGUUUGCUCCUUUGACGUUAGCGGCGGACGGGUGAGUAACACGUGGAUAACCUCCCUAUAAGACUGGGAUAACUUCGGGAAACCGGAGCUAAUACCGGAUAAUAUAUUGAACCGCAUGGUUCAAUAGUGAAAGACGGUUUUGCUGUCACUAAUAGAUGGUUCUGCGCCGCAUUAGCUAGUUGGUAAGGUAACGGCUUACCAAGGCAACGAUGCGUAGCCGACCUGAGAGGGUGAUCGGCCACACGGGAACUGGGACACGGUCCAGACUCCUACGGGAGGCAGCAGUAGGGAAUCUUCCGCAAUGGGCGAAGGCCUGACGGAGCAACGCCGCGUGAGUGAUGAAGGUCUUCGGAUCGUAAAACUCUGUUAUUAGGGAAGAACAAAUGUGUAAGUAACUAUGCACGUCUUGACGGUACCUAAUCAGAAAGCCACGGCUAACUACGUG